AAUGAACGCUGGCGGCAUGCCUUACACAUGCAAGUCGAACGGCAGCAUGACCUAGCUUGCUAGGUUGAUGGCGAGUGGCGAACGGGUGAGUAAUGCAUCGGAACGUGCCUUUUAGUGGGGGAUAACGUAGCGAAAGUUACGCUAAUACCGCAUAUUCUCUGAGGAGGAAAGCAGGGGACCUUCGGGCCUUGCGCUAGAAGAGCGGCCGAUGUCGGAUUAGCUAGUUGGUGAGGUAAAGGCUCACCAAGGCAACGAUCCGUAGCGGGUCUGAGAGGAUGAUCCGCCACACUGGGACUGAGACACGGCCCAGACUCCUAAGGGAGGCAGCAGUGGGGAAUUUUGGACAAUGGGCGCAAGCCUGAUCCAGCCAUGCCGCGUGAGUGAAGAAGGCCUUCGGGUUGUAAAGCUCUUUCGGCUGGGAAGAAAUCGCACCCUCUAAUACAGGGUGUGGAUGACGGUACCAGCAGAAGAAGCACCGGCUAACUACGUG
rnacentral:rRNA from 1 species